CUGAGAUUUCGUCACACACUAAACCACAAGGGCUGAUGAGACUUCCAAGAUAAGUGAAGCG
rfam:Schistosoma mattheei strain Denwood, Zambia genome assembly, scaffold: SMTD_scaffold0012176